AGCAGCGUGGCCCAGUGGAUAGAGCGCGGGCCUGGGAGUCCGAAGGACCUGGGUUCUAAUCCCAGCUCUGCCA
rfam:Ornithorhynchus anatinus chromosome X2, whole genome shotgun sequence.